UCUGCAUAGUGGAGUUCAGAGUAGGUCCGAGGAAAGUUGAAGAAAUGCAGCACAAAUGUGGCGGCCUGCCCACGUGUCAAACAGGUCCUGAAGACCGGUCACCUGCUCGAGCGCCUCAGCAGGGCCAACAGGAUUGGGGGUGCGGGUCGCCAGCUCUGGCAAAAGAUACCAAUUCCAGCACCAACAGGCACAUCUUAGAACACACAGCGAUGACUCAGCAACCGUGGGUGGCUCAUUAUUUCUUUCACCCACGAGAGUCGACUGGCUGGUUUCUUUGGUAACGUACAAAACUAAAUUAUAGCACAUUAAAACACAAUUAGAUAUAAGGCAAUACAACUGAACAACAUUGUUUGUUGAAUUGGUUGCCAUUAUCCUUUUUCUUUUCUUUUACUUGUUGAGAUACAUGAGAUUUUGCAGAUGCAGGCAGAUGAUCUUUGAAGCCAAGUGUCACCAUAGAUCGAAUCUUAUCUUGUUCAGUUUUAAUUUGUUCGUAUAGCUGUUUGUGUUAUAUGGUUUAUGUCCACAUACCUCCAAAACUCAUAUCAUGCACGUCAUCAGUUGUACAACAUUUUGAAAGCUAAUAGGCUGAAUGAAAACCGGAUAUAAAAAAUCUCUCUUGAAAACGAACAUGCUUCUUGACAUGGCUGAAAGCUCAGUUGCUAUUUGUGCUUCAGAGGUUUUUAUUUAAUCAUUCUGGGCCCACAUGGUAAUCAUGCACAGAUCCCAUCUGUGGGCUGACUUCAACAUAUUAGACAAAAACAAAUAGCCGGCGGCUUCAGUUCCUUUCCAUCCUCUCCCUCCAGCCUCACAUUUGCAAGUCCUGCAUGUCAGAAUGUGGGUUGCCAGAGCUUCACUAUCUGCUCUCACAAUCCCACAAGCUGCAGAGGACAGAGGACUGAACCCAGCUGGCAACUGAAGAAAGUUUCUCUCAUUACAUGUAAAAACUUUCACCCAGAUUUUCACUCUAAAUACUAAUACUUCAUAAUAUUAUUAUUACUCUCAUUUAUAUAAUGCCACAUUAUCAGUUAUCAUCUAACUGAAUUUGAGACCUAAUGUUGUGACACUGAUUCCAAGCAGAAAUCCCAUGGUCUCUAUAGGAUUAUAAUCUAUGGUCUGGUCACUCCAACAGGAUUUAGAUAGUUAAUAAAAGAUGAUCACAUAAAUCCACAGAUCCGGGGCCUUAUUGGAUUAUCAUCAUCAUGUGUGACAUGUCUGCUCUAUCGAAUUAAUUUGACUUUUCUAACAUGCUUCAAUGUGGAAUUUGAGACGCAAAAAUACUGACAACAGUAGAUGUUUAGUGUAGGCAGAGCUUAUCUUGAAUCGAGCUCUUGAAUUUACUAUGUGGACAACUGUAGUUGCAGAAAAUCUUGUGUACUCAAUAAGAUAAAUUGAACAGAUUUCAUGGUGCAAAUAUAUUCAUAAGCUAUAAUCUUCUCACAGUAAAUCAGAUGCCCAGUCUGCAAAGUGAACAUUAGAUCUGAUAUUCAUUGGUUGUGAGAGGUAUGUCAGCAUAGCUUUUUUUGAAACAUCUGCUUGAAGUGCUUGGUGAUGAAACAGGGUACAGUACAUACUGUACUUGUUAAAAAGAACAAAGAUACAUUACCCUCUGAUAGAGGUUUCUAAGGGAGUGUUAAUAAUGUAACAAGCGACUUUCACGUUCAUGUUUUUCAUGUUUCGUGUGAAAAGACGGUGGAUAUCAGCCUGUAAACCAGACCAAUCAGCAAGCUCAUGUUUAUUCGCUCUCACCGAUGGGUCCGGCCCCGGCACCAGUCUACUAUAUUCUCUCUGAUAGAUGAACCUCAAGUCUGCUUACAUUUUUCUGUGACUCUCCACACCACAUUUCCUUGCUCUGAUUGGCUGUAGGUCUGUUCUGUUAACGUUGCUAUCGCUCCUUGAAUUUUUAAAAAAUGAACUGAGAAGUUUAAGAUCUUUUCGCAAAUGCCAGGCAUGGUCAUUCAUUGACUCUUGUCCUGAUUAACAACAACACAGAGAGCAAGGAUGAAAUAAAGGAGGGAAGAAUGGAUAGGUAAAGAUAUAGGGAGACAAUUUAAAUCUAUGUUAUAAAAAAUAAAAAUAAAUGAUAAAUGCAAAAUCAUUUUACAUGAGUUUUGUAUUAUUUGAACCUAUUUUUCCAGAUGUG